rnacentral:rRNA from 1 species
AUUGAACGCUGGCGGCAGGCUUAACACAUGCAAGUCGAGCGGAGAUGAGGUGCUUGCACCUUAUCUUAGCGGCGGACGGGUGAGUAAUGCUUAGGAAUCUGCCUAUUAGUGGGGGACAACAUUCCGAAAGGAAUGCUAAUACCGCAUACGUCCUACGGGAGAAAGCAGGGGAUCUUCGGACCUUGCGCUAAUAGAUGAGCAUAAGUCGGAUUAGCUAGUGGGUGGGGUAAAGGCCUACCAAGGCGACGAUCUGUAGCGGGUCUGAGAGGAUGAUCCGCCACACUGGGACUGAGACACGGCCCAGACUCCUACGGGAGGCAGCAGUGGGGAAUAUUGGACAAUGGGGGGAACCCUGAUCCAGCCAUGCCGCGUGUGUGAAGAAGGCCUUAUGGUUGUAAAGCACUUUAAGCGAGGAGGAGGCUACUGAGACUAAUACUCUUGGAUAGUGGACGUUACUCGCAGAAUAAGCACCGGCUAACUCUGUGCCAGCAGCCGCCGUAACAC